AUGGUGGGUCUUCGGUGUGGCAGGGAGCUCAGGUUGCUGCGGCUGGAUGGGUUCGAGCGCUGCUGCGGGGAGCUCCUCUCCCGUAUGGCGCAUCGCGCGAGGUUGAGGCCAUCGGAAGGAGGAGGUCAGGCGCUGCACAAAGCACCAAGGUGCGGCCAUGGCGCUUGGAGCUCCUGUUGGCGGCAACGAAGAGAGGUGGUGGCGCUGCUGGCAGAUGUCGAAGAGGGGAUGGCAGAGAAUGGAGCGGCGACGGGGUGGCAAGGCGGUCGAAGGAGUCGCUGGAGCAUAGGCGGAGGAAGGGCUCCGGCGAAGGGGACGUCGAGGGCGGAGAAGCUCGAAGCAGGAAGAGGGGAUCGAGGAUGA
rnacentral:rRNA from 1 species